GGACAGUAGGACAGGAUGACCUUUGGAUGACCAAUCCAUGACCUAGGGUCAUCAGGGCGGCCGGUAAUAUAAUGAGAUAUAAAAACAUUUGGGUUAUAAUCUAGGUACCAUUCUACCGUGAUCAUUCCAUGGUAGUGUCACUCAGAGGCAAACAAACAAGAGAAAGACUCAGUGGUUCCAUGCAUAAUUGGGUGGUACCAUGCAUAGUCGGGUGGUAGGGUGGUACCAUACAUAGUCGGGUGGUAGGGUGGUCCCAUGCAUAGUCGGGUGGUAGGGUGGUUCCAUACAUAGUCGGGUGGUAGGGUGGUCCCAUGCAUAGUCGACUGUUAGGGUGGUCCCAUGCAUAGUCGGGUGCUAGGGUGGUCCCAUGCAUAGUCGGGUGUUAGGGUGGUCCCAUGCAUAGUCGAGUGUUAGGGUGGUCCCAUGCAUAGUCAGGUGUUAGGGUGGUCCCAUGCAUAGUCGGGUGGUAGGGUGGUUCCAUACAUAGUCGGGUGGUAGGGUGGUCCCAUGCAUAGUCGACUGUUAGGGUGGUCCCAUGCAGAGUCGGGUAUUAGGGUGGUUCCAUGCAUAGUCGGGUGGUAGGGUGGUCCCAUGCAUAGUCGGGUGGUAGGGUGGUCCCAUGCAUAGUCUGGUGGUAGGGUGGUUUCAUGCAUAGUCGGGUGGUAGGGUGGUCCCAUGCAUAGUCGGGUGGUAGGGUGGUUCCAUGCAUAGUCGGGUGGUAGGGUGGUUCCAUGCAUAAUCGGGUGUUAGGGUGGUCCCAUGCAUAGUCGGCUUGUAGGGUGGUCACAUGCAUAGUCGGGUGGUCCCAUGCAUAGUGGUCCUAUGCAUAGUUGGGUGGUAGGGUGGUCCCAUGCAUAGUCGGGUGGGUGGUCCCAGGGUGGUUCCCAUGCAUAGUCGGGUGGUAGGGUGGUCCCAUGCAUAGUCGGGCGAUAGUGUGGUCCCAUGGAUAGUCCGGGUGGUAGGGUGGGCCCAUGCAUAGUCGGGUGGUAGGGUGGUCCCAUGCAUAUCGGGCCUGGGUGGUAGGGUGAGCCCAUGCAUAGUCGGGUGGUAAGUUGGGCCCAUGCAUAGUCGGGUGGUAGGGUGGGCCCAUGCAUAGUCGGGUGGUAGGGUGGUCCCAUGCAUAGUCGGGUGGUAGGGUGGUCCCAUGCAUAGUCGGGUGGUAGGGUGGUCCCAUGCAUAGUCAGGUGGUUCCUUCCAGCAACUCCGUAUUGCGGAGAAUUGAGGAGUGUGACGGGCGACUAACUACCACAGUUCCCAUAACGGGUGAGUCAUCAUCAUCGUCUUUCAGACCUUUUUAGCAGAUCUCUCUCUCUCCGUCCUUGUCUCUCUCUCUCUCUCUCUCUCCCCCUCCUUCUCUCUCUCUCUCUCUCUCUCUCCUUGUCUCUCUCUCCUAUUCUCUCUCUCUCUC
ensembl:lncRNA